UACGGGGGAGCAAGCGUUGUUCGGAUUUACUGGGCGUAAAGGCGCGUAGGCGGCCACCGCAAGUCGACUGUGAAAUCUCCGGCUUAACCCGGAAAGGUCAGCCGAUACUGCGGGCUAGAGUGCAGAAGGGCAACUGGAAUUCUCGGUGUAGCGGUGAAAUGCGUAGAUAUCGAGAGGAACACCUGCGCGAGCGGUGCUGGCUGACACUGACGCUGAUGCGCGAAGCUAGGGAGCGAACGG
rnacentral:rRNA from 1 species